GAUUUUGCUCAACUGUCUCUUAGCAAAGCAAGCUGUGCUCUGAAGUGCAGGGGUUAUUUGCACUUCCUCUGCACUUGAAGCUGAGGCUGAAUGACUCUUUAGCUGAAAAGGUACCAAGG
ensembl:miRNA